AAUGUCAACUAGCCGUUGGGACUCUUGAAGUCUUAGUGGCGCAGCUAACGCACUAAGUUGACCGCCUGGGGAGUACGGCCGCAAGGUUAAAACUCAAAUGAAUUGACGGGGGCCCGCACAAGCGGUGGAGCAUGUGGUUUAAUUCGACGCAACGCGAAGAACCUUACCUGGCCUUGACAUGCAGAGAACUUUCCAGAGAUGGAUUGGUGCCUUCGGGAACUCUGACGCAGGUGCUGCAUGGCCGUCGUCAGCUCGUGUCGUGAGAUGUUGGGUUAAGUCCCGUAACAAGCGCAACCCCUAUCCCUAGUUGCUAGCAGUUCGGCUGAGAACUCUAGGGAGACUGCCGGUGACAAACCGGAGGAAGGUGGGGAUGACGUCAGGUCAUCAUGGCCCUUACGGCCAGGGCUACACACGUGCUACAAUGGUGCGUACAGAGGGUUGCAAACCCGCGAGGGGGAGCCAAUCUCACAAAACGCAUCGUAGUCCGGAUCGGAGUCUGCAACUCGACUCCGUGAAGUCGGAAUCGCUAGUAAUCGUGAAUCAGAAUGUCACGGUGAAUACGUUCCCGGGCCUUGUACACACCGCCCGUCACACCAUGGGAGUGGAUUGCACCAGAAGUGGUUAGUCUAACCUUCGGGAGGACGAUCACCACGGUGUGGUUCAUGACUGGGGUGAAGUCGUAACAAGGUAGCCGUAGGGGAACCUGCGGCUGGAUCACC
rnacentral:rRNA from 1 species